rnacentral:rRNA from 1 species
AUGGUGCGUGUAGCUAUUAGGGUUCGAAUUUGCAUCUUCUUCUUUUUUAGCUUAGCGAGCGGAGUGGCGCCUCCCACUUUUCCGCCUAUAAAUACCACCCCUGGGCGAAGCCUUGUGGAGAGAAAUCUACCACCGCUCUCCCUCUCCCGGCCUGCACUCACAAGCAGCGGCGAAGCCUUCUCUGCCUUCCUCCUCCUCUCUCUUUCUGCCAUGAAGCCCCCUCACUUCACUGGGGAAGCGGCAGCCAGCGCCUCAUGGGCUCACGAGGUCAAGCAGGCCCUCCGUGACAAGCUCCGGUGGACACCCGCCGCGGGCACCACGGGCACCGGCGGCCACGGCGCCGCGAGGCCGCCGACGGCCUCCUCGGCUGUGACCGCCGAGCCGGCGGUGCAGCCGGCCCACGGCGCCGACUGCCGGGGCUUGGCCGCCGCCGAGGACCCCAUCAGGAGGGUCAUGUUCUUGGCCCCCUGGGGCCACACAUAA